UACAGAGGGCGCGAGCGUUGUCCGGAAUCACUGGGCGUAAAGGGCGCGUAGGUGGCCCGACAAGUCAGUGGUGAAAGUUCGACGCUUAACGUCGAAUCGGCCACUGAUACUGUUGGGCUGGAGCACUGUAGAGGCUCAUGGAAUUCCGGGUGUAGCGGUGGAAUGCGUAGAGAUCCGGAAGAACACCGGUGGCGAAGGCGGUGAGCUGGGCAGUUGCUGACACUGAGGCGCGACAGCGUGGGGAGCAAACGGG
rnacentral:rRNA from 1 species